UUUAGUUAUUUCUUACUCUUAAAAAAAAUAGGGCUCAAUAAAAUAAUCAUAAUUAAUCUCAUGAUUUCUGAAAAUGAAAUAAUCAAAUUUGGCAAAUGUGUUGUCAGUUAUUACAAAAAAUACACUCUUAAAAAAUGGUUCUUUGGCAGGGUGUAUGGUUCCAUGAAGAACCUUUAAUAUCCAAAAGAACCUAUCCAUUGCACAAAAGGUUCUUUAGACUAUUUAAUGGUUCUUCACAAUCAACAUUUUUGUAAAUAUUUUUUUCUGGAAAGUGAGAUCAAGUGAGCUAAAUGUUCCUAGCUGCCUGGUCCAGAACUCAUUCCAGACUCAUUUUCUUUUAGUUGUGUUCAAUUAAAGCUCAAUAAAGUAUUAAUUUUUAGUUAUAAAUAGUGUUUAAUUAAAAACACACCAGUAGAUCAGUCCUUUUAUACUUUUUACUCCUAUUUUAAUGCUGUUUUGCAUGACUCAAAAAAUGUAUUAUGCUUAUUUAGCAAAAGCAAAGUUUAGUAUAAAAAUCAUGUUUUAAAAUGAAAUAAAAAGGCUCAGUGAUACAAAUCUUAAAAUAUUAUUUUUUAUUUUUUAUUUAUCCCACUAUCAUACAUUUUGCACCAAUGUAUUGGUCGUAGAACUACAAAAUGAGUUUCAAAUUCGCGAUUUAAAGAAAGAUUUUAAGAGGUUUAUGAAUGCUGCAUGACUGUGACGUGUUUAAACGGACUCGCGUGCUGAAUUCGCGCGCUCAUUCAAACGCUGCAGCGGAGGGAGUUUCCAUGGAAACGGUACGCAACACUGUAACUGACGAACAGUAAAUCUCCGUCUCUCGCUGCUGUUUUCACUGCUUUCAGAUGAGUUUAGUCCCUAAAAUCACACAAAUAUCACAUACAACUGUUCCAGACACUUUCUUACAUGUAACUGACAUGUUUCUGUUGAAUAUUUACUUCACAGAAAUGUUUUACAGUCUUCGAAAAAGUCCGCUAGCAUCUGUUUUCAGGCGAGGAGUGAUAAUAUAAUCUUUCUACAAAGGAAGAGAAGCUCCAAGAUUUCAAAUACCUGACGGGAGCUGCUGACAGAAAUGCAGGAAACACAGAUUAUGAUGGCCGUGCAGCAGAGGAGUGCAGAGUCUCCUGUCGGACAACAUCUCUAAGUCGCUAUGAACCAUGUGACUAGUCCUGAGACCAUAUGGGGUGAAGAUCAAGGCAACCAAACCAAAGGUGGACUGUAACCUACUGGACUAUAUGAUAGACUUCAUACUGACCACUACUGCCAUGUAUGCAGCAUGAAAAGUUUUUGAAAAGAGGGGCAUUUCCUUCACCAAGUAAAAGUGUGGAGGAUUCAUCUGGCCUUCAUCGGGCCUCAUGAGGUGACUCUGUAGAUGUAGAAUAAAUCAGCUUGCUUUAGGCUUGAAAUGACUGAAAUCUUCUCGUGAGUUGAUAUCAUUUUAAACAUUCUUUAAAGUACUUCUCAUUUCUUGUGAAUGUAUUUUGUAGUAUGUGUAAAACUUUUCCACUGAAAGAACCUUUUUUACCUUCAUUGAUAUUGUAAUCAAGGUUGUUAAUGCGAUGGACUGCACACAUCUGCCUGUGUUGGGCUUGUGUUUACAGGUCGUAUAAAACUAGGCCUGGCUGCAACAACUAAUCGAUAAUUAAAAUAAUCAUCAACGAAUUUGAAUAGUGCAUCAAAACAAACAGACCACUCAUAAUUCUGACUAAAACACACAUUUUGCUCAAAUAUUUUUUUGUUAGAAAUUAAGUGUAGGUUUAAAACCCUACAUGUAACACAAGUAAUCAUAUUUAUGAGAGCAGUAACAGUGAAGGCACUAUUGUUGGAAAUGUCCAUUAAUAUAAUAUAAUAUAAUUGCUCUGUUCAGACGAAUGAUUGUGUUUGUUACUCAUACCUCUUACAAGUUAACAUUGUGUUUUUUUUGUUUAAAUUGUUUUAAAUUCUGUUUCAAAAUAACAAGCAAUCUGUUGUUUUUAGGUUUAGAAUGUAAUGUUUGUAUUUUAAGACUUUAAUGCUUAUAAUGAACAGCAGAGCCUACAUAGAGAAAUGACAUUCUUUAAAAUAAUGGAUUAAAAUUAUUUUAAUUAAAAAUUAUGUAUAUAUUUUAUUUAUUUAUUUAUUUGUCAUCCAAUUACUAGUAUUAAUAAAAAAAAUCUACAAAUAAAUUGGUUAUCAAAAAAAAUUGUUAGUUGCAUGCAGCCCUACAAAAGAUAUUGUUAAAGAGGUCGGCGGUAUAAUGUUGUGUGUGAACACGAAGUCAUGUUUAUUUGUACAACAUGUAAUUAAUUUCUAUAGAGAUAAUGCAUUAUUACAGUGAAACUAUUUGCUAUUUUUAUUUUGUAAAUUAGCAGAAAACCAUCUCUACCACUGCAGUGCUUUAUCACUAUUUUUUAAAUAAAGUUAUAGUUCAUAGUUCUGAAUCAUUUUGUCAUGUGACAACAAUAUUUUCUUUCAGAUGAUGCUAUAAUAAAGCCUGUAUCGUAGAAUAGUAACUUGUCAUUCUGUUUUUAUUUUGUAGAUGUUUGUUGAAUAACUAGGCUUAAAUGUAAUUUGAGGUACUUUAGUAAAACCAUGGUUAAACUAUGGUAUUACAACCAUAGUUCAUUUGUGGUACUU